rnacentral:rRNA from 1 species
GGACUACUGGGGUAUCUAAUCCUGUUUGCUCCCCACGCUUUCGCACCUCAGCGUCAGUAUUGGCCCAGGUCGCCGCCUUCGCCACUGGUGUUCCUCCCGAUAUCUACGAAUUUCACCUCUACACCGGGAAUUCCACGACCCUCUUCCAUACUCAAGCCCGCCAGUUUCGAAUGCACUUCCUCGGUUGAGCCGAGGGAUUUCACACCCGACUUAACAGGCCGCCUACGUGCGCUUUACGCCCAAUGAUUCCGAGCAACGUUUGCACCCUCCGUAUUACCGCGGCUGCUGGCAC